GGAGCAGCCAGGUGGCUCGCGGCGCUUGAGCGGGCAGUCGAGGUGGGCAGCGCUGCUGCUGCUUGCUGCUGCUGCUGCAGAGAGCCCGCGAGGGAUCUGGCUUAAGUGGUGGGGGGGGAGCAGGCUCGCGAGGCCGGCAGAGGAGGCCGCCCCUGGAGCCGCGGGCGAGCAGGACCCCCCCCCCCCCCCGUCCCGAUGAAGACCCGGCGCCCCCGAGCCCAGCAGCCAGGCGCCCGCUGAAGGAGCCCCAGCCCGGAGGCGAGAGGAAGCGACUGCUUUGCGCGCCCGGGAGGGAGCCGCCGCAGCCAUGGGGAACCGCGGGAUGGAAGACCUCAUCCCUCUAGUCAACCGGCUGCAGGAUGCCUUCUCUGCCAUCGGCCAGAAUGCCAACCUGGACCUGCCCCAGAUCGCGGUGGUGGGGGGGCAGAGCGCCGGCAAGAGCUCGGUGCUGGAGAAUUUCGUGGGGAGGGACUUCUUACCCCGUGGAUCUGGCAUUGUCACUAGACGCCCCCUGGUCUUGCAAUUGGUUAAUGCCCCCACAGAACAUGGAGAAUUUUUGCACUGCAAAGGGAAGAAGUUUACUGACUUCGAGGAAAUACGCCAGGAGAUUGAAGCGGAGACUGAUAGAAUUACUGGAUCCAACAAAGGCAUUUCUCCAGUCCCAAUUAACCUGCGAGUCUACUCUCCCCAUGUCUUGAGUUUGACCCUGGUGGAUCUACCUGGGAUGACUAAAGUACCGGUUGGAGACCAACCUCCGGACAUUGAGUUCCAAAUCCGUGACAUGCUCAUGCAGUUUGUCACCAAAGAGAACUGCCUUAUCCUAGCAGUGUCCCCAGCCAAUUCUGAUCUGGCCAACUCAGACGCUCUUAAGAUUGCAAAAGAAGUUGAUCCACAAGGCCAGCGUACCAUUGGAGUCAUCACCAAACUGGAUUUGAUGGAUGAAGGAACUGAUGCUCGAGAUGUUCUAGAGAACAAGCUGCUUCCACUACGGAGAGGUUACAUUGGUGUGGUCAACAGAAGCCAGAAGGAUAUUGAUGGAAAGAAGGAUAUUUCAGCUGCACUGGCUGCAGAGAGGAAGUUUUUUCUGUCCCACCCAGCAUAUAGGCACAUGGCUGAUCGCAUGGGCACCCCCUUCCUGCAGAAAACACUGAACCAGCAAUUGACCAAUCACAUUCGAGACACUCUGCCAGGCCUGCGGAACAAACUCCAAAGCCAGCUCCUUUCCAUUGAGAAAGAAGUGGAAGAGUAUAAGAAUUUCCGCCCUGACGACCCUUCCCGCAAGACCAAAGCUUUGCUUCAGAUGGUUCAACAGUUUGCUGUGGAUUUUGAGAAACGCAUUGAAGGUUCUGGGGAUCAGAUUGAUACCUAUGAGCUGUCUGGAGGUGCUAGGAUCAAUCGCAUCUUCCAUGAACGGUUCCCCUUUGAGCUGGUGAAGAUGGAGUUCGAUGAGAAGGAGCUUCGUCGGGAAAUCAGCUAUGCCAUCAAGAAUAUCCAUGGUAUCAGAACCGGUCUGUUCACGCCCGACAUGGCUUUUGAGACCAUUGUGAAAAAGCAGGUGAAGAAGAUUAAAGAACCUUGCGUGAAAUGUGUGGACAUGGUCAUUUCGGAGUUAAUCAAUACCGUUAGACAGUGCACCAAGAAGCUCAGCCAGUACCCCCACCUGCGGGAGGAAAUGGAGAGAAUUGUUACAACCCACAUUCGUGAGCGAGAGGGCCGGACCAAGGACCAGGUCAUGCUCUUGAUAGACAUUGAGCUGGCUUAUAUGAAUACAAACCAUGAAGAUUUCAUUGGAUUUGCCAAUGCUCAGCAGAGGAGCAGCCAGAUGAGCAAGAAGAAAGCAGCUGGUAAUCAGGAUGAGAUCCUGGUGAUCCGCAAAGGCUGGCUCACCAUCAACAACAUCGGCAUCAUGAAGGGUGGUGCCAAAGAGUACUGGUUUGUUCUGACAGCUGAGAACCUCUCGUGGUACAAGGAUGAUGAGGAGAAAGAGAAGAAGUACAUGCUACCAGUGGAUAACCUGAAACUUCGGGAUGUCGAGAAGGGCUUCAUGUCCAGCAAACAUAUCUUUGCCCUCUUCAACACUGAACAGAGGAAUGUUUACAAAGACUAUCGCCAACUGGAGCUGGCCUGUGAGACACAGGAGGAGGUGGACAGUUGGAAGGCCUCCUUCUUGCGUGCAGGAGUUUACCCAGAACGUGUUGGGGACAAAGACAAAGCUGGCGACUCAGAAGAGAAUGGAUCGGAUAGCUUGAUGCAUUCCAUGGACCCUCAGCUGGAGAGACAGGUGGAAACCAUCAGGAACCUUGUAGACUCCUACAUGGCCAUUGUCAACAAAACCAUUCGUGACCUCAUGCCUAAGACCAUAAUGCACCUUAUGAUAAACAAUACAAAGGAAUUUAUCCACUCAGAAUUGCUGGCGAACCUAUACUCUUGCGGGGACCAGAACACCCUGAUGGAAGAAUCGGCUGAACAGGCCCAGCGGCGCGAAGAGAUGCUACGCAUGUACCACGCCUUGCGGGAGGCGCUGGGCAUCAUCGGGGACAUCAACACCACCACCAUCAGCACUCCCUUGCCCCCGCCGGUGGACGACUCUUGGCUGCAGGUGCAGAACAUACCGUCCGGACGCAGGUCUCCCACGUCCAGUCCUACGCCGCAGAGGAGAGCUCCGGCAGUCCCACCCUCCAGGCCGGGAUCUCGAGGCCCGGCUCCUGGACCUCCGCCUGCUGGUGGUCCCACUCUGGGUGGUGCUCCUCCUGUUCCGUCUAGGCCCGGGGCCUCCCCUGACCCUUUUGGGCCUCCGCCUCAGGUUCCAUCUCGGCCCAACCGUGCACCUCCUGGUGUCCCCAGAUCUGGCUUUUCCCCCCUGGGUGGAGAACACUGAAUGAGGCCAAUGUCUGAAAGGAAGCGUGUCAGCCUUUGAGAAUCACUAUCAGUGACCCUUGAGGACUGACAGCCACGCCGGAAGGGCCCCGCUUCACCAACUCGACCCGCCAUAACCCGACCAGCUGAACCGACCCUCUUAGAUUUAUAACCUGAGGCCUGUAGACAGCUGGCAACAAGCAUCGCGCCCACCUCUCCCAUUCUUCACAGGCACCCCCUUGCCCCUACCCGUCCCCUGUCCCCCCCCCCCCGUCGUUAAAAAUGCCCGUUAGUGAUCGAGCACCUCUUUGUCUUCUCUUGUGCGUCCUGUAUUGCUUUGUGAGUGUAGAAUAGUCCUAGUUCGGCGGCAUGGGGACGUGGGAGGACGCGCGCUCCUCGGAGCACCACUUGACAGGAGCGUCCGCUGUGCGCCAAAGCAGCAGCUGCAUCGACCGGUCUCUCAGCCUGCCCUGGCCUGGCCUGCGCAUGCACUGUGUCCCGCCUGCAUUGGUUAGCUGUAGCGUCUAGCGCGCAUCGGUAGCAAUUUUUUUCCUCUGUAGUCGAGAAGAGAAACAAACCGACCUCUGGGUGAGGACACAUACUGUAACGAGUAAAAAACGUGUAACGUUCUUGGUAAGCAAGGUGAUACGUCCGGUGUGUGGGUUCAAUCGGAAGCGCAAACAUGUUGGAACGGGGGGCGGCCCCUCCCUCGUGCAAGGGAGCCCUAAUGCCCCUGGGGACGACUUGUGGAAGGACACCGAAGACCUCUGCCAUCCUCUCUCAGUACAAGGAACUGGUACAAUAGGGUGCCCUCUGUUCUUCACAGUAGCCGAGUGGGGGGUAAGAGCCACUGGCUAAUAUCCCGACAUACAACUGACUUUUCACCAAUCGGGAGAGGGAGAAGCAUUAGGAGAAUUUGCUAUAUUUCCUCUUUGGGGGAAAAAAACGGACAAGCGAAUAUAUUUCCAGGAAGGUUUGCCGUGUCAAACGUUUUAUCGCAACCACCUUUUGCUGUACGAGAUGGGAGGGAAGCACACUAGGCGUUUGGUGUCUUGAAUAUCCUGGUGGUUCUAAUACUCUUCACUACUUGCAUGCAGCUGGUACAUAUAUAUUUGUACGUAUGUAUGUGGGGGGAAAUGUCACUGCAACCGCUGAUUCAUCUUCUUAACUGGCUACUUUUAUGUCUACACUGGGGAGUCAAUGCAACUACAAUAAAAGAAAAAGAACUCAAGACACGCUGAACCCUUACCCAAACCGAACUGAACCAUUUAUUUUUGUAAGUCUUCUAGUCAGCCCCACUUAAAUUUUAAGUGUGCGUAUUAUUUUUUUUCAACCCAAUGCCGUGGCUUUUGAUUUCUGUUGAGAAUCCUUUCUAUGCCAAGUUCUGAUGUCAGUUUCUUUCCAUAUUUUAACUAUUGUUUUACUUCUUUUUUGUCUUGCUCCCUCUCUCUUCCUUUGUUGUUUUUAUUUUGUGUGUGUGUGUGUGUGUGUGUGUUCUUGUCUCUUUCUUUACAUUCCAGCCGCCCCGGCAAAACUAGCUCCUCUCGCCCGGAGAGUCCAAAGCCGCCAUUUGACAUGUAACUGCUCCCUCUGAGAUCCAUCUCUUAUCUGCCUCUUAGCUGUUCUGUCCGGAAUGGUCCGACGCACAUCUUAAAAACACGGCUUUGUUCUGUCGUAGCUUGUGGCUUGCACAUAUCAGACGUGACUCUAGUGAAACUGGUUUUUCCUUCCUCCCAGUUGCUUUAAUGGAAUAAAAACGAGUUAUAUUGUAGUAAUGAGAAACAUAUCUUCACUGUUAUAUAAAUAUCUAUAAAUAAAUAAAAAUAUAUAUAUAUAAAGAUCUAAAUCUAAAUGGCGUCCAGAAGUUUUAAAAGCCUUUUAAUGCUUCUGAUGUUGGUUUUAGCAAACUUCUUGAUCAGGCAGAGUCUAUGUACGUACACAUGUGCACCCAACCAAGACCCAGCGGCAAACCUGAGAUUCAUUCUCUACAGCAUCAAGUUGGGUCGUUUUGUUGCCCCCCAAAACUGUGGGUGAAUCUUUGCAGUGCUGGUAGUACCUGUGAUGCUGUCUGUGAUCUGUCAAAUCUUGUUCACUGGCUGAAAUAAAAUAUAAUUUCUGUACAAUGGAGGACUCCAUGUCUAGAAUAAAAGUCUCUCACUCCGUG